rnacentral:misc_RNA from 1 species
CGCAUAUUGCGCCCUUUGGCAUUCCGAAGGGCAUGCCUGUCCGAGCGUCAUUAUCCACCCCUCAAACUAUGGUUUGGCGUUGGACUUAACCGCCAAAUUUGGCACGGUUGGUCUUGAAGAUAGUGACGGCGUCCUGGAAGGAACCGGUACGAGGAGCUUUUCGUUAAGCAUGUACGCGGGACGACUCUGGCGACGGCGGUCUCAUUUAUUACUUUUGUAGUGUUGACCUCGGAUCAGGUAGGAAUACCCGCUGAACUUAA